GCUGUCGUCAGCUCGUGUUGUGAAAUGUUGGGUUAAGUCCCGCAACGAGCGCAACCCUUAUCCUUGUUUGCCAGCACUUCGGGUGGGAACUCCAGGGAGACUGCCGGUGAUAAACCGGAGGAAGGUGGGGACGACGUCAAGUCAUCAUGGCCCUUACGAGUAGGGCUACACACGUGCUACAAUGGCAUAUACAGAGGGCAGCAAGACCGCGAGGUGGAGCGAAUCCCAGAAAGUAUGUCGUAGUCCGGAUCGGAGUCUGCAACUCGACUCCGUGAAGUCGGAAUCGCUAGUAAUCGUGGAUCAGAAUGCCACGGUGAAUACGUUCCCGGGCCUUGUACACACCGCCCGUCACACCAUGGGAGUGGGCUGCACCAGAAGUAGAUAGCUUAACCUUCGGGAGGGCGUUUACCACGGUGUGGUUCAUGACUGGGGUGAAGUCGUAACAAGGUAGCCCUAGGGGAACCUGGGGCUGGAU
rnacentral:rRNA from 1 species